GACGUAGGGCGCGAGCGUUGUCCGGAUUUACUGGGCGUAAAGAGCGCGCAGGCGGUCGUUCAAGUCGAGUGUGAAAGCCCCCGGCUCAACUGGGGAGGGUCAUUCGAUACUGAUCGACUCGAAGGCAGGAGAGGGAAGCGGAAUUCCCGGUGUAGUGGUGAAAUGCGUAGAUAUCGGGAGGAACACCAGUGGCGAAGGCGGCUUCCUGGCCUGUUCUUGACGCUGAGGCGCGAAAGCUAGGGGAGCAAACGGG
rnacentral:rRNA from 1 species